ACAAACAAAACACGCCAUCCAAACCUAAACCUAAACCAAGCCGCACAUCCAGCCGCCACUCAACCUCAGCUCCCGCCCCCCGCCAGAUUCCCUCCUUCACGCCGCCUCCAUUCGUGCCGCCGCCUUCCGGCAACGGAUCCGCCGGGGCCUCGCCGGACGGUGCACCGCCCAUGCCUCCUCCGCCGCCGGUCGUCUCCAAGGUUGCCGCACGCCAUCGAGAGCUUCACUUCUACCAGCACAAGACCCACGCCCUCGCUCACCUGCCUCCGGUCACUACCUCUCCUCCUCCUCCUCCUCCUCCUCCUCCUCCUCCUAAAAAGUAGGCCUCUUCCUUCCAUUCCUCACGCAGUUUCAUUUUCAUCUCAUUCCCACCUGAUCUCGUCCACGGCAACACCACCUGCAAAUCCACGACGAGAUGCCGGCCAAGCUCAUCCUCCACGACCCGCGACAACCCGUAGCGCCGCAGCAGAGUGUCCGCGUCCAUUCAGAUGCAAGGGAGUAAGAGUAACUGAAUGAAUACUUACAAGCGGCCGAGGGAGGACCAGCCACAGCAGCUAACAUCAUCCACAAGUGCCUGCAUCCUUGAGGAGGCGCCCCUGUGCCUGUGGAUCUACAAUCCAGUGUACUCCCUCUGUUCGGGUUUAGAGGUCCGGAGAGCUUUUCCAGGUUGUUCGGCAAUACUAGUUCGGAGUAUUAACUCCCCUUAAUUCCCGUGCAAAAUUAACUACCCAGCGAUAACUCCUCUUUCCUCUCUAUGCAUGUGAUCCGUGGACAACAAAACUGCCCAAUGCAUGCGCUAUUUUCAUGGCGAUGGAUUGGCGAGUAACCAUCCUCGUGGAUUGCCUUCCUUUCAACCGUGCGAUGCAGGAAGGAGGAAAAGGAGAUCAGCUAACCUAUUUAAGUGGAGAGAUUACAGUUGCAGUUAAUAGAAUCCAAACCGACCCCGACGUUAGCUCCUUGUUUCCAGUGCAGCGUCUUGGUAUUAGCGAUUCUGCUCUCCGGACCUCUAAACCCGAACAGAGGGAGUAUAUCUGCCACCAUCAAAGGGACCACACUUAUUUUGGAAGGCCCAGCAUCGCCCUUGCACAGUAUGUCUUCUCUGUGAUCCUUGAGACCUUGAUAACAAGUAUGCUUGCUCUGUUUCUGGUGUCAUCAUAAAAUAUCUUACAUAGCAGCAAACCUCUGCA